rnacentral:rRNA from 1 species
GACGAACGCUGGCGGCGUGCUUAACACAUGCAAGUCGAACGGUAAGGCUCCAGCUUGCUGGGGUACACGAGUGGCGAACGGGUGAGUAACACGUGGGUGACCUGCCCUGCACUUCGGGAUAAGCCUGGGAAACUGGGUCUAAUACCGGAUAGGACCGCACCGUGAGGGUGUGGUGGAAAGUUUUUUCGGUGUGGGAUGGGCCCGCGGCCUAUCAGCUUGUUGGUGGGGUAAUGGCCUACCAAGGCGGCGACGGGUAGCCGGCCUGAGAGGGUGGACGGCCACAUUGGGACUGAGACACGGCCCAGACUCCUACGGGAGGCAGCAGUGGGGAAUAUUACACAAUGGGCGGAAGCCUGAUGCAGCGACGCCGCGUGGGGGAUGACGGCCUUCGGGUUGUAAACUCCUUUCACCAUCGACGAAGGGUUUCUGACGGUAGAUGGAGAAGAAGCACCGGCUAACUACGUG